GCGGCUGUAGCUCAGCGGACAGAGCACUGGUCUUCGGAACCAGGUGUCGGGGGUUCGAAUCCCUCCAGCCGCGCCA
rnacentral:tRNA from 1 species